AACAUAACCUUUAGCCAAACAAAUAUUAAAGGCAACGCCUGCCCAGUGAACAAUUAAACGGCCGCGGUACCCUAACCGUGCAAAGGUAGCGUAAUCAUUUGUCUACUAAUUAUAGACCUGUAUGAAAGGCAAAAUGAGGGCCUGACUGUCUCUUAUAAUAAAUCAAUUAAACUGAUCUCCUAGUAAAAAAGCUAGAAUUCCAACAUAAGACCAGAAGACCCUGUGAAGCUUAAACUAAACCAUUAAACCCAAUAAUGAUUACUUUCGGUUGGGGCGACCUUGGAAAAAAAAAGAACUUCCAAACAAUGUGACUAAUCACACCCAAUACUAGGCCUACAAGCCAAUAAACGACCCAGCACAGCUGACAAAUGAACCAAGUUACUCCAGGGAUAACAGCGCAAUCUUCUUCAAGAGCCCAUAUCAAAAAGAAGGUUUACGACCUCGAUGUUGGAUCAGGACAUCCUAAUGGUGCAGCCGCUAUUAAGGGUUCGUUUGUUCAACGAUUAAUAGUCCUAC
rnacentral:rRNA from 1 species